GCCAGACUCCUACGGGAGGCAGCAGUGGGGAAUAUUGCACAAUGGGGGAAACCCUGAUGCAGCGACGCCGCGUGAGUGAAGAAGUAUUUCGGUAUGUAAAGCUCUAUCAGCAGGGAAGAAGAAAGACGGUACCUGACUAAGAAGCCCCGGCUAACUACGUGCCAGCAGCCGCGGUAAUACGUAGGGGGCAAGCGUUAUCCGGAUUUACUGGGUGUAAAGGGAGCGUAGACGGCAUGGCAAGUCAGAUGUGAAAGCCCGGGGCUCAACCCCGGGACUGCAUUUGAAACUGUCAGGCUGGAGUGCAGGAGAGGUAAGUGGAAUUCCUAGUGUAGCGGUGAAAUGCGUAGAUAUUAGGAGGAACACCAGUGGCGAAGGCGGCUUACUGGACUGUAACUGACGUUGAGGCUCGAAAGCGUGGGGAGCAAACAGGAUUAGAUACCCGGGUAC
rnacentral:rRNA from 1 species